rnacentral:tRNA from 1 species
GGAGUUAUGGCUCAGUGGUCGAGAAUUUGACUGCAGAUCCAAAGGUCCCCAGUUCAAAUUGGGCUGCUCCU